CAGGUCAGGCGGGGCUACCCGCUGAGUUUAAGCAUAUCAAUAAGCGGAGGA
rnacentral:rRNA from 1 species